UGAGCAAUCUGCCCUUCUCUUUGGAAUAAGCGUUGGAAACGACGUCUAAUGCCGAAUACGACCUCCUUUCGCAUGAUCGGAGGUGGAAAGCUCCGGCGGAGAAGGAUGAGCUCGCGGCCUAUUAGCUAGUUGGUGUGGGUAAUGGCCCACCAAGGCGACGACGGGUAGCCGGCCUGAGAGGGUGACCGGCCACACUGGGACUGAGACACGGCCCAGACUCCUACGGGAGGCAGCAGG
rnacentral:rRNA from 1 species